AUUGAACGCUGGCGGCAUGCUUUACACAUGCAAGUCGAACGGUAACAGGUCUUCGGAUGCUGACGAGUGGCGAACGGGUGAGUAAUACAUCGGAACGUGCCUAGUCGUGGGGGAUAACUACUCGAAAGAGUAGCUAAUACCGCAUGAGAUCUACGGAUGAAAGCAGGGGACCUUCGGGCCUUGUGCUACUAGAGCGGCUGAUGGCAGAUUAGGUAGUUGGUGGGGUAAAUGCCUACCAAGCCUGCGAUCUGUAGCUGGUCUGAGAGGACGACCACCCACACUGGGACACGGGCACGGCCAAAGCUCCUGGGGGAGGCAGCAGUGGGGAAUUUUGGACAAUGGGCGAAAGCCUGAUCCAGCAAUGCCGCGUGCAGGAUGAAGGCCCUCGGGUUGUAAACUGCUUUUGUACGGAACGAAAAGGCUGGGGCUAAUAGCCCCGGGUCAUGACGGUACCGUAAGAAUAAGCACCGGCUAACUACGUGCCAGCCGCCGCCGUAACAC
rnacentral:rRNA from 1 species